AUGGAGAAAAAUUGGAGGAAACUGUGGCAAAUUCAAUGCCCAAAUAAAAUGAAAGUAAUUCUGUGGAGAUUGGCUCAUAAUUGUCUCCCAACAGGUGCUCAACUUAAAGUGAGAUCGAUCCCCACAAGCUCGACCACUUCCAUUAGACGUGAGACCUUGGAGUCGAACAAAAGAUGGUCUCCGCUGCCGGAGGGGUCAAUGCUCGUCAGUGUGGAUGCAGCGAUCUUCUCCCAAUCAGCAAGAGCGGGCUUUGGUGUGGUGAUACGUGAUCACCGGGGAAGGGUGCAGGUGGCGAACAGAGGCUACUUUGAAAGAGUUCAAAUUCCUGAAGUAGCGGAAGCCAUGGCACUUCAUCAAGCCUUAAUCCUUGCCAAUAGCACUGGUAUGAGGAAGAUCAUGGUAGCAUCUGACUGUCUAUCAUUGAUAAACAAGAUCAAGGGUUCAGGUUUUGAUAGGUCCCCUACUGGAGCCAUAGUCCAUGAUAUUAGGAAAUGCCACAAAGUUCGUAUCUUGUAG
rnacentral:rRNA from 1 species